rnacentral:lncRNA from 1 species
CAUUUAUGUAUUUUAUAUAUAUUCGUAUAUAUACAUGUGCUGAAAGUUCACUUUUUUGUCCUUUUCAUUCUCUUUCAGGAACCCACUAGAUCCAUGGAUCAGGCAUGCAACAACCCUACAGUGACCGAAUUCUUGAAGUUCAAAGGCAUUAUUCAGUUUGCUUGUUAAGAGGACAUACCUGCUGCUCAGUUAUUGCUCUUCUGAUGCACAGAAGCUUUUAUGUACACACAUUUUACAACUUUCGUAACCUGAAAACAGGGCUUCCACCAUGCAAUAAGACCGUACUCUGUACUGAAAACUAGGUAGGAAUUCUCAGCAAGAUUGUAUUAAUGCUUAGAAUUGGUAGUUUGGUCAUACAUGCUCUAAGUGUACCAUAGCAGUGAAUCAAUGCCUUUAUCAAGUGUCUGUAUGUGUAGUGUCCAGCAGUUUCUUUCACUAUUCCUUAAGGUCAUGGUUAGGUUGAUAAUGCUCUUCUGGAUCAACAUGCUGACUUACUGGCAUACAUUAGCAAGGCUG